AUAAAAUAAAACAAACAUUGAUGCAUUGAAGGAGGACACAUAUUUUAUAUAUGUUAAUUUGGGGUUUUCACAUCUCUUUCUCGCUUCUGACUAAGCACAGCUAGUCAAAGCUUUAAAAUCAGAGCUUCAGCACAAGGAGCUUUAUGGGAUUCUCUUUGAUAUCCUGAUUUUAUCUUAUACCUUUGAUGUUAUUUCGUUUAGUUUCAUUCCCCGUUUGCAGAACUCUGAUGCCGAUUAUAAUAUAUGUUACACUUAAUUAUAAUCAUAUUUAAUUUAGGAAAAUGAUUUUAGAUGAUAUAAUAAAAAUUUUAUUUUUAA
rnacentral:lncRNA from 1 species